rnacentral:rRNA from 1 species
UACGUAGGGUGCAAGCGUUGUCCGGAAUUAUUGGGCGUAAAGAGCUCGUAGGCGGUCUGUCGCGUCGGAUGUGAAAAUCCAGGGCUCAACCCUGGACCUGCAUUCGAUACGGGCAGACUAGAGUUCGGCAGGGGAGACUGGAAUUCCUGGUGUAGCGGUGAAAUGCGCAGAUAUCAGGAGGAACACCGGUGGCGAAGGCAGCCCCCUGGGCUGAGAUUGACGCUCAGGCACGAAAGCGUGGGGAGCAAACAGG